UGUGGGGAUUCAGCUUCAACAUUCAGCUUUUACAGGAGUAACCAAUAACCACAUGUUGUUGUUUUUUUUUAUGGAAUACUAGAGAGUUACUCCUCAGCUUCCAUGGAUCCCUGCUGCUUUGAAGAGCCUGAGUUAAUCCUUUUAGUUAACAGUGACUGCCUCUGCUGCUGUCGGCCAAAUACAAAGGAACAGGAUGGAGGACGUUCAGAGGGUUUGUGUGCCAGAAGAGGAAGACAGAUGACCCACUGUGAUGACCCCUAGAGGAAGCAGGCAGAAGAAGAAGCCUGCAUGAUGAAGCAUCCUUGGGUACAAUACUGAACUUUGUGCCAAGGUCCUCGAGUCUCUCGCACUGGCCUGCCUCUCUCCUUUAUUUUCUCUCUUUGGCGUGUUGCGGUCACCUUCCCUCAGUGCAGCUCCUCCUGUCUCUCCGCCUUCCUCCAGGCACGCACCUGCCUGCAAUCAGCUCUAAUGACUCACUUGCUGCUUGUCUAUGACUGGGCUAACUACUUCAAGCCUCUAUCGUUGUCACAACGUUGCAUCAGCCAAGAUACGCCCUCGAUCCUGUUUGGUUUGUGUGUUUUAUGUCUUGGAUAACCUCUCUGUGUAACCUCUCUUGCUAUGAAGCCCCACUCACAUGAGCCCUGUUUUGUGUGUGUGUGUGCACGCCCUGGGAAGGCCACAUUGCCUGACUGCCACAGCUGGAACUCAAAUGCACCACCACCACCACCACCUUUGUUACUGCCUUUUCACUGUGCAAAAAAACUUGUCAAUAAAUCUGUUGAACUCUUACAGUGCUCCACACCUGGGUGAUGAUUCUGUUAGCUAGUGACACUUUAAUGCAUCCGUGACACAGAGUG